UACGGAGGGGACUAGCGUUGUUCGGAAUUACUGGGCGUAAAGCGCACGUAGGCGGAUUUGUAAGUCAGGGGUGAAAUCCCGGGGCUCAACCUCGGAACUGCCUUUGAUACUGCAAAUCUCGAGUCCGGAAGAGGUGAGUGGAAUUCCUAGUGUAGAGGUGAAAUUCGUAGAUAUUAGGAAGAACACGCCAUGGUGGCAGAACGG
rnacentral:rRNA from 1 species